GAUGAACGCUGGCGGCGUGCCUAAUACAUGCAAGUCGAGCGAAUGGAUUAAGAGCUUGCUCUUAUGAAGUUAGCGGCGGACGGGUGAGUAACACGUGGGUAACCUGCCCAUAAGACUGGGAUAACUCCGGGAAACCGGGGCUAAUACCGGAUAACAUUUUGAACCGCAUGGUUCGACACUGAAAGGCGGCUUCGGCUGUCACUUAUGGAUGGACCCGCGGCGCAUUAGCUAGUUGGUGAGGUAACGGCUCACCAAGGCAACGAUGCGUAGCCGACCUGAGAGGGUGAUCGGCCACACUGGGACUGAGACACGGCCCAGACUCCUACGGGAGGCAGCAGUAGGGAAUCUUCCGCAAUGGACGAAAGUCUGACGGAGCAACGCCGCGUGAGUGAUGAAGGCUUUCGGGUCGUAAAACUCUGUUGUCAGGGAAGAACAAGUGCUAGUUGAAUAAGCUGGCACCUUGACGGUACCUAACCAGAAAGCCACGGCUAACUACGUGCCAGCAGCCGCGGUAA
rnacentral:rRNA from 1 species